UACGUAGGGUGCGAGCGUUGUCCGGAAUUAUUGGGCGUAAAGGGCUCGUAGGCGGUUUGUCGCGUCGGGAGUGAAAACCAGGUGCUUAACACCUGGCUUGCUUUCGAUACGGGCAGACUAGAGGUAUUCAGGGGAGAACGGAAUUCCUGGUGUAGCGGUGAAAUGCGCAGAUAUCAGGAGGAACACCGGUGGCGAAGGCGGCUUCCUGGACAGAAACUGACGCUGAGGCGCGAAAGCUAGGGGAGCAAACGGG
rnacentral:rRNA from 1 species